rnacentral:lncRNA from 1 species
GUAAUUUUGUCUACCGCCUAAAAUGGCAAAGAAGAAUACAACUGCAGGGUGCAGUUUGGCUUCCAGAGAUCGAAGUACAACUUCUUCCCUGAUCCAGAGGAGCUCAGUUAUGUGCUGCUGCGUACUGGAGGCAAUUGGACCCGAUCUCCCAUUCUGGAAGCAAUUCGCCCUCCUUUGCUGUCAUUUCAGAUUAUCAUAUUAAGAAGUGGAAAUUCUGCCUCCUGCUAACUAUUGUUUUGCUACAAAUAGCCUCCUUCCUUUGGAGAUGUCUGAGAUUUGGCAGAGAAUGAAGGUGGAGGGGAGAUGCUGAAUCCAUGACACCACCAAAGACAACAGUUGGUCAUUGUUUAAACAAACAGUGACUUGCAUCAUGAAACUAAAGUGGGUACGCAGUAAGGAGGGCGGCUGCCCUUCCUUCCCUUGGUGCCUACAGCUGGCUCGUGUUGUCGGACUCGCAGCUGAUGCCCCUUGGCCGAUCAUGCAUUGCUGAUCACCAUUCAAGGUAAGAGACAAAAGGGAGAGCUUAGCAGUCAAGAGGAUACUGAUGAGAGGGGAAAUUGCUUAUUUGAAAGGCUCUUUUAGCACUCCUCUCUUUCCUGACAACAACAACGUUUAUCGCUCUUCUUUCAUCCCUCUUUGUAGAGUCGCUGUCCAUUAUGAAGAGCUCCUGAGGAAACCCGGCUGUGCCCUCCGCUAAUCUCACCCCUCCGAGCUGGGUGCCCCACGAUGGGACGGGACCGUCCGCACGGCCCGGGGCUGCCUGGCUGCGGGUAAUCCACGCAAGGAUUGUGCUCCCAUGUGCAGUAAUCACCCUGCACAAUUUGGCAGCAGUGUUAUCGGCACUGACCGGUGUCUGGAGUGAAACAAGUAAGACUUUAGGAGGUGACUUCCAUUUUGUGACUGCAGCACUUCAGCAUGUGGCUGCCUUCAUUUACUGGAGUAUGCUGGCCAAGACUGCCUUGUUUGUGGAUUACCCAGGUGUGUAUUUUCACUUUUUAAAUCAAAAGACUGUGUGGACUGGCCCAGCAGAGAUGUUAAAUUUAACCUGAUUCUAGUCUAAGAUAGACCUGAGUAAGGUUUAGUUUAAACAAACCCACUGUUUGCUCGGCUUUUGCCUUUGCUGGCUGACCUGAUUUAGGAUCGCGUAUUGUGUUGAGCCAGUAAAACUGUGUCUGUAGCCAAACCAUGUGUGCACAAUACAGUCCAUGUUGCCCUGUUGCCAGUUGUUCCUCCAGCAGUGGGUGCAGUGUGGGCUUUCAGCUGUGGAUCUCUUGGCCUUGGAAGUGGACCCUGCCAAGAUGCAGGUAUUGAAUGAAGCACCACAAUGG